CUCUUCUUCAUCAUCAUUCACUCAUCACAGCAUCCAAUUUAUUUGUUUAAUCUUUGGAUUUAAUGUGUCUGUAGACAGAAAUGUUCAAAAUUCUUCUCAAUUCCCCCACUUUUUCGGCUUCUUAGCAUCUAUAAUAGGGCUUAAAUUACUUUUUUCCAUAAAGGGGUUGAGCUAUUCAAUACGUUUAACGGUUAUUUAGAGGAAAACCCAUCUGGGUUUUGGAUUUUGAUUGGAAUUGUAAACAAAUUCUUCAUUAAUUAGGGAAAACCCAUCUGUUUUUUUUGGAUUUUUAUAAUUUGGAAUUGGGUUGCUGAUUUUGUGUGGUGAUGACUUUUGCUGGGAACGAUGAGGAGGAAGGGUUAGUGGUGGUGAUGCCAGCGCCGUUGUUGGGGUUGGCGAAGGAAGAUCUGAAGGGUGAUUAUGUGAAAUUAGGUGGUGAUGAUUUGGGGGAGGAUAAUAGGUUUGUUUCGGGUUGUAUGAGUGCUUCGUCUUCUGAGCUGAGCUAUGAAGGGAAUAGCAGAUGUUGGUCUCUUUGGUGGUGGGCUAAGCUGGUACUUGUUCUUAUCUUUGUUGGAGUAUUGGCUGCUGUUUUUCUCAAAUGGGUUGGACCCUUCUUCAUGGAUAAGGAGAUUAUUCCAAUACUGAAUUGGGAAACCAGGACAUUCAGUACUCCAGUACUAGCAGUUCUAGUUUAUGCUUCUGUGGCGCUAUUCCCCACCCUGCUUUUACCAUCCACUCCCUCCAUGUGGGUAGCUGGGAUGACGUUCGGAUAUGGUUUUGGUUUUCUACUUAUCAUUACAGCAGUUCCUAUUGGUGUAUCUCUUCCUUAUUUCAUAGGUCAUCUUUUCCAUCACAAAAUCCAAAGCUUGAUAGAAAGAAAUCCCAAGAAUGCUUCUGUUAUAAGACUAGCUGGUGAAGGGAAUUGGUUUAAUCAGGCCCGAGCUGUCACAUUAAUUAGGAUUUCCCCUUUCCCCUACAUAGUCUUUAAUUACUGUGCAAUGGCAACUGGUGUCAAGUACUGUCCUUAUUUGCUGGGGACACUCAUCGGCAUGGUUCCAGAAAUAUUUGUUACAAUUUACACUGGCAUCCUGAUAAAGACACUUGCAAAUGCCUCGCAAGAGCAACGUUUUUUAUCAGCUCCACAGAUCAUUCUUAAUGUUCUUGGAUUUAGUUUCACGUUUAUUACAACGGUGCUGAUCACUGUAUAUGCAAAAAGGCGGCUCAAGGAACUACAGAGAGAUGAGGAGCUGUUGCUACAGUAAGCUUCUGCUUUGUAUUUGUGUCAGGACAGGUGAAAGAAAGGAAGGAAGUAAAGGGGACUCAGAGAUUCUUUGAUGACCGAGAAGGUCAUCUGCAUCCAUCGAGAAUCUUUAUCGCUGCAUAGGAUAAUAUUAUCUGCACAUCACCUUAUAGCGGAGACCAAGCGACAAAUCAUUUGUCGCGCACCACUGCAAGGAAUUUCAAAAGCAGGAGACUUAACACAACUGACAUACAAAGAGGGGAACAAUCACUUCUCUCAUUCAACGCUUUCGUCCCAUAUUGGUUAGACCAUGCUCUGUACAUAAUUGAAUAAC
rnacentral:misc_RNA from 1 species